UACGUAGGGUGCAAGCGUUGUCCGGAAUUAUUGGGCGUAAAGAGCUCGUGAGCGGUUUGUCGCGUCUGCCGUGAAAGUCCGGGCUCAACUCCGGAUCUGCGGUGGGUACGGGCAGACUAGAGUGAUGUAGGGGAGACUGGAAUUCCUGGUGUAGCGGUGAAAUGCGCAGAUAUCAGGAGGAACACCGAUGGCGAAGGCAGGUCUCUGGGCAUUAACUGACGCUGAGGAGCGAAAGCAUGGGGAGCGAACAGG
rnacentral:rRNA from 1 species